rnacentral:tRNA from 1 species
GCAAGGAUGACCGAGUGGUCUAAGCGAUAGACUUUUACUCCAGGCGUCAGUGGUUCGAGCCCAUAUUUUCUUUCU